AGUGGCGUAACCAUUAUGCUCUGCCAGACCUGUGAGGCAGCCAUUUUAUCUUCUUGCUUGUUUUGGGAGCACUGGCUUCUUGAAUGCUGACUUUAGUAACAGAAAUGCAUGCUUAAUGGGAUUCAAGUUAGGUGACUGACUUGGAUGGUCACGAGCAUUCCACAGUUGCUGUAAGAUGCUUCUUAACAUUUCAGGAUUCAUAAUUUUGCUGUCGUUAGCAGUCAGAUCUUCCAAAAGGUGUUGUCACAACGUAGGUUUACAGAAAUGAGCUUUAAAGAGAAUCCAGGUCCAGGCCCACAGGAAGCAAGCCAAAAGCGACACUGGCAAGGAAAUACUCCCUAAGCAAUAGAGGAAGAAAUCUUGAGCGGGUCCAUUGCGUACAAGGGGAACCCAUCCACUUCUGAUUGGCACCAGACAGAAAGCUAACCACACAGAAUAAAUAAAGCUUCUUUUAGCAAGAAACAUUUAA